UUCGCCCAUUAAAGCGGUACGCGAGCUGGGUUCAGAACGUCGUGAGACAGUUCGGUCCCUAUCCGUCGUGGGCGCAGGAAGUCUGAGAGGCGCUGUCCUUAGUACGAGAGGACCGGGAUGGACACACCGCUGGUGUACCAGUUGUUCCGCCAGGAGCACAGCUGGGUAGCUACGUGUGGCAAGGAUAAGUGCUGAAAGCAUCUAAGCAUGAAGCCCCCCUCAAGAUGAAACUUCCCAUCACGUUAAGUGAGUAAGAUCCCUCAGAGACGAUGAGGUUGAUAGGUCCGAGGUGGAAGCGUGGCGACACGUGGAGCUGACGGAUACUAAUCGAUCGAGGACUUAACUA
rnacentral:rRNA from 1 species